CCCACGAUUUCCAGGGAAUCCAGGCAGACCAGGAACCCCAUCAGGUCCCCUUCCUAUUCCUGGCAAUCCAGGCUGACCCUUUGGUCCAGGGAAACCAGGAGAGCCUGCAGAGAAGAAAAACUACAUCUCAACACUUCCUGAAUCCCCUUCUGCCCGAGGAAACCUGGAUUUCCUGGAAACCCAUUAUCGCCAGAGAUGUGAAAAGGGAAAGACCAUCUCUGAAUCGAGGAGGGGGCCUAAAGUGCCGGGGAAUCCCAUAAUUCCAGAUUCUCCUUUUUGUCCAGAGAAGCCUGGAAGUCCUGGUUCCCCAGAAAAGCCAGGUUCUCCCAGCAGCCCUUUACUCAGAUCAAGGAAACCAGGAACUCCAGGUCGUCCCGGGCGACCAGGUGCACCUGGCUGACCCUUGUCACCUGUUAACCCAGAGAAAGAGUUUGUAACACAAGAUUAUCCGGUGACGUUCUGAAAGAAGCAAAGCACUAUGUUACCUCUGGGUCCAGUAAAGCCAGAAAAGCCGGGUAUUCCAGGGUCUCCGAUGUCUCCUUUCUCUACAAGCUGAGAUGAAAGAGGUCUACCAGGAAGUCCGGCUGGACCAGAGAAGUGGUGUUACACCCCAUACGAGACUCCACGACUGCACUGUGGAGAUGGACAUUUGUGCGCAGCGCAGAUGAGAAAUGAAGGCAGCAGUUCAAGUGUUUGUUCUAAUACACCAACAGCAAGAGGAUGGAGGAAAUGCAAGCCAAGGGUGGCGCGGCUGGGAGGGAGGAGAGAUGGACAACGGGACGAGGGAAAGAGUGUCUCACCUGGGCAGCCUAUAACGAGUGACCCAACACCAACAAAAAAAGGAUGGAGGGAUGAGAGGAUGGAUGGAGAUGAUGAUGGUGGUGGUGGUGUUGGGGAAAAAAGAUGAAAGUGACAAGGAGGAAGAACAGAGACAUGGAAAAAUACAACAAUACAAAAAAAAGAGGGAGAAGACAUUCUCGUGGGAGACGCAGUGUUUGAUAAACAACAACACGAUUCAAACGGGCAACUGUGAUGAUGGAUGACUGUGAGAGAACGAUGAGAACAAAAGAGGAAUGAACCAGGGCUGGUGCAGGGAUGAGAGACCCUUGAUACCAUCAGGGCCAGGUCGACCAGGAAUGCCACCAUCUGGGUCACCUGGAAGCCCAGGAAGGCCAGGAUUACCAGGAAUACCGUCAACUCCGCGUUCUCCU